rnacentral:rRNA from 1 species
GAGUUUGAUCGUGGCUCAGGACGAACGCUGGCGGCGUGCUUAACACAUGCAAGUCGAACGGAGUGCCCCUGAAAGAGUUUUCGGACAAUGGAUGGGAACACUUAGUGGCGGACGGGUGAGUAACGCGUGAGUAACCUGCCUUGGAGUGGGGAAUAACAGCUGGAAACAGCUGCUAAUACCGCAUGAUGCAGUUGGGCCGCAUGGCUCUGACUGCCAAAGAUUUAUCGCUCUGAGAUGGACUCGCGUCUGAUUAGCUGGUUGGCGGGGUAACGGCCCACCAAGGCGACGAUCAGUAGCCGACCUGAGAGGGUGGCCGGCCACAUUGGGACUGAGACACGGCCCAAACUCCUACGGGAGGCAGCAGUGGGGAAUAUUGCACAAUGGGGGAAACCCUGAUGCAGCAACGCCGCGUGAGUGAAGAAGUAUUCGGUAUGUAAAGCUCUAUCAGCAGGGAAGAAAAAGACGGUACUGACUAAGAAGCCCCGGCUAACUACGUGCCAGCAGCCGUUA